rnacentral:tRNA from 1 species
GACACAGUGGCGGAGUGGUUAACGCGCAUCCCUGCUAUUAUCUACUGCUCCACAAGAGCUCUAAACUCUUGUAAGGAUGUCUCCUCGGAGGCGCAGGUUCGAAUCCUGUCUGUGUCG